CAAAGAAGAAUGAAAACCUUGUUGUGUGGUUACUAGUGCCGAUCCUAGGAGCACUUGUCAUUCUCUCUACAUGCGCAGGAAUAUUCACCUACUACCUCCGCAAACAAAAACAACACAACAAAGAAAACUCAGAUUCUGAAACUGGAGAGAAGUUUUCCAUCUGUAGCUAUGAUGGCAAAGUUAAAUACCAAGAGAUUAUCAAAUCAACCAACGAAUUCGAUCCAAAAUACCUGAUUGGAAACGGAGGAUACGGAAAAGUCUACAAAGCAAAGCUUCCACGCGCAACCAUAGCCGUGAAAAAGCUACACGAUACAACAGACGAAGAGAUAUCAAACCCAACAGUGAAGCAAGAGUUCCAAAACGAGGUAAGAGCAUUAACAAAGAUCAGUCACCGCAACGUAGUAAAGCUCUACGGCUUCUCCUCCUACCGCCACAACACUUUCCUAGUCUACGAGUACAUGGAAAAGGGAAGUUUAAGUGAAAUAUUAGCCAACAACGAAGAAGCUAAGCGUCUAAACUGGACCAAAAGGAUCAAUAUCGUCAAAGGUGUGGCUUACGCGCUCUCAUACAUGCACCAUGACCGACCAACUCCGAUCGUUCACCGUGACAUUACCAGCAGCAACAUCCUUCUCAAUAAUGAUUACGAAGCUAAGAUCUCCAAUUUUGGCAUUGCUAAGUUUCUCAAACCAGAUUCCUCCAACUGGUCCACCGUUGCUGGAACCUACGGCUACGUCGCUCCAGGUAAAGAUUAUCCUAUAAACUCAAAAUCAAACGAAACUGAAAUCAAAUUUUGAGCAUACGAAAUCGAAAUUCCCAAAUUCGAAUUUGAACAUAUGAAAUUGAAAUCCCUAAAUUCGAUUUCAAGCUAACGAAAUCGAAAUUUUACAAAUUCGAAUUUAAACUUACAAAAUUGGAAUCCCUAAAUUCGAUUUCAAGCUAAUGAAUUAAAAAUCUCCAAAUUCAAAUUCGAACAUAUGAAAUUGAAAUCCCUUUUAUUUUUUGGACAAACAUGAAAUUGAAAUUAAAAUCCCUAAAUUCGAUGUUAAGCUUACGAAAUCGAAAUUUCCAAAUUCGAAUUCGAGCAUAUGAACUUGAAAUCCCUAAACUCGAUUUCAAGCUUACGAAAUCGAAACUUACAAAUUCAAACACGAACAUAUGAAAUUGAGAUCCCUAAAUUCGAAUCUGAAAUUGACUGUGUCUGCAGAAUUAGCUUACACGAUGAAAGUGACGGAGAAGUGCGAUGUGUACAGCUUCGGAGUACUGAUAUUAGAAGUGAUAAAGGGAAA
rnacentral:lncRNA from 1 species